rnacentral:rRNA from 1 species
UACGGAGGAUCCAAGCGUUAUCCGGAAUUACUGGGCGUAAAGAGUUGCGUAGGUGGCAUUGUAAGUUGGUAGUGAAAGCGUUCGGCUCAACCGAAUACACAUUACCAAAACUGCAAAGCUUGAGGAUGAGAGAGGUUAUUGGAAUUCCGAGUGUAGAGGUGAAAUUCGUAGAUAUUCGGAAGAACACCAGUGGCGAAGGCGACUCACUGGACAUGUAUUGACGCUGAGGUGCGAAAGCGUGGGGAGCAAACAGG